rnacentral:lncRNA from 1 species
GUACAUACUUUCUCACACGCAUAUCAUUAUAUAUAUAUAUUGAGAUAACAUCAUUAUAAGCUGAAACUUAACCAGAGAUCUCAAUAGCCUUAACAUCAGGUUUCUUGACUUCCUCUUUAGGAACAGUGACAGUAAGUACUCCGUUUUCCAUUGAAGCCUUUACUUGAUCCAUCUUUGCAUUCUCCGGCAGCCUGAAACUCCUCAAGAACUUGCCACUGCUACGUUCCACGCGAUGCCACGUGUCGUUCUUCUCUUCCUUCUCCACAUUUCUCUCCCCGCUGAUUUGAAGCACUCUGUCAUCUUCAAUUUCUACUUUCACUUCCUCUUUUUUGAGCCCAGGAAGAUCAGCCUUGAAUACAUGAGCCUCUGUGUCUCUCUCCAGUCAACGCGAGUGUUAAUAAAAGCAGAAUUUUCACGAGAAACGAGGGAAGAAGAUGAAGUGAAAGAAAAGUCUAUGAAUGGAUCCCAAACGUCCAGAGCAGAGAAUGGAUCGAAGAUGUUGCUUCGUGAGUUACCGAAAAAGCUUGGAAUCAAUGCCAUUUUUCGAUCUGAGAGCCUUAGGUUUUGGUCUAUCGUAGCGAGAGUAGCUUCGUCUUGUUUCUAGUUUUUCGAUGAUGUGAUGGAGGGGAAUGGAUUGGGUACCUUACAUAAAAUUUUCAUAAUAUAAUCUUAAUGGAACUGCAGAUCCUUUAAAUAUGUAUAAGACGACAAAGGAACUGCAGAUCCUUUAAAUUUAAAAUAUUCUUAACGGAACUAACAGAAGGAGUACUAAUAUAAUCUUCCAACGUAAUAAACUUGUAAAACUAGUAAACCGCUGCUUACGUGGUUUUCAAUGGAUGUUUAAAUUCACUGAUUUCGUUGAUUUGACACUCAAUAAUUUAUUUAAUUUACAAUAAACAACAGGAGCAAGCAACUCACUGUUAGCUGUGCCCAGACCAUCCACAUAUAUAGCAACAACGGUUGGCUAUGGUGAAACAAAGGAGAACCCAUUGACCCCAACGUCACUGUUGUGGAAACCAAUGAAGAAAACCCUUUAUUUAGUUCUUGGCAUUUGAACUACACACAAGAUAGAGUAAGUAAUGGUAAGAAUCUUCUUUCCUUUCUAAUUGAGUUCCCAUUUUAAUUAUAUUUCUGCAAAUCUUGAACUAAUUUGCAUUUCUUGACUCGCCAACAGAGUACAUCACCAAUCUGCUUUUCUAGUGGAAAAGUUUGAACUUUCAAGAACUUGCUAAUUUUGAAACAAUAAGAAUAGUUGCACUCCUUGAGAAAAGAAGUCCUUUUACGGCUCUAUCUCAGAUAUGAAUCUUGAAAUGACUUCAAUAUUAUGGAACUAAAGCUCAUUAGCAACGGCUAGCCCUAUUUCCAGCAAGCCAAACUGUCAUUUCCUGGCUCCCAUAUGUCACUAUAAGAUACUAGUCAAACCCACAAAAAUCCAACCUCGGUAUCUGUUGUAUACCUCUUUUUCCACAUUAUAGAUCAGUCAAACAAAAAGUGGGUUAUAUGGGUACAGUUUAUAUGUGGCAGUGAGCCUCUUGAGUUUUGAGUGGUGAUCAAUAUCAGGAAAUUUAGUACUUUUGUCUUAAUUUUGCUUCUCUUUCUCAUUAGCCAAACUGCUUCCUUGGAUCAUUGCUUCAAUUUAUCACGCAUGAGGUUUGAAUACUUAUUUAUUGCAUGUCCUAAUAUAUUUCAUAUAUAUUACUUAUAGCGGAAAGGAUAAUUUCUGACUUUUCAUGUCGAAUUUUGGCAAGAAAUGAUCAGUUCUUGCCUAAAUUUCUUAAAAGGAGGAGAAAGAAAAUUAGGGUUCAAAGUUUAUAAAUUUCUUGUCUAGCAUUUGCUGCAGAUCUAAUUUGAUAAAGCUAUUGUUACUUGUUUAAUGCAGCUAUAAGAACUUCACAAAUUCUGCAGAGUAGCCAGUUCCAAAGAAUAGGCAAAGAAGAGAACAUUUGUAAGAAGUCAUGGCAGAAGAGGAUAUAUAUACAAAAGAUGGGACAGUGGAUUACCGUGGGAAUCCUGCUAAUAAAAAGGAAACUGGAACAUGGAGAGCCUGCCCCUUCAUAAUAGGUACUGGUGAACUCCAUCUGACACAUGCAGUGAAAUAUGUUCAUAAAAAGAGAAAUGCUUAUCAGUUUUUUAUAUUUUUAUUAACAGGAAAUGAAUGUUGUGAAAGAUUAGCCUAUUAUGGGAUGAGCUCCAAUUUGGUUCUUUAUUUCAAGAACAUAUUAAAUCAGGACAGUGCUACUGCCACUAAAAAUAACUCUGAUUGGAGUGGAACAUGCUAUACCACACCGCUGAUCGGAGCAUUUUUGGCUGAUGCUUUUCUAGGAAGAUAUCGGACUAUUGCAAUUUUCAUGAGUAUUUAUGUCAUUGUAAGUUUCACUAAUGUUUUUUGCCUUGUAUUUGUAGAUUUCAACUUAUAGAAGAUUAAGCAUUUGAAACCCAAAAGGGAUUUGCAUUGCAUUUACUUUUUGAUACGCUGUUUUGUUUAAUGUUAUAAUCAUAUAAAUCACAAUUAGGCCGCGAAUGAACCAAGCUGAGUUCUGGUCAGCUCGAGCUUGGCUCAUGUAUUAAACAAGCCUUAAAAUCAAGCAUAAGAGGUUAGAUAUUGCAUAAGAAAGAAAUCAUACUUCUGUUGCUUACCUCUGAGGAGCAAAAUUUAUUCUUAAAGUACAAUGCUCAAGCAUGCCUCAAACAUCAUAGUUUCUGUGUUCUCCACAUCAUUUUCAACACUUCAAGGCAUAUAACACAAUACCCUUUGCUAUCCACAGGGGAUGACGCUUUUAGCUCUGUCAGCAUCAGUCCCAGGUCUAAAGCCAAAAUGUUAUUCAAAAAAUGACUGUGAUCCGACUGAUGGACAAAGUGCAGCAUGCUUUGUAGCACUUUACCUGAUAGCACUAGGCACUGGAGGGAUUAAGCCUUGUGUGUCGUCAUAUGGAGCAGAUCAGUUUGAUGAUACAGAUGAGGUUGAGAAGAAGCACAAAGGCUCUUUCUUCAACUGGUUCUACUUCUCAAUUAACGUUGGAGCUCUUAUUGCUUCUUCCGUGCUUGUUUAUGUACAAGAGAACUGGAGUUGGGGAUGGGGUUUUGGCAUUCCUGCAAUAGCCAUGUUAAUUGCUCUUACAAGCUUCUAUUUAGGUACUAGAUAUUAUAGAAACCAAAAACCAGGAGGCAGCCCUCUUACACGUCUCUUCCAGGUGAUAGUGGCAUCCAUUAGGAAAUACAAAGUAAAAGUGCCUGCUGAUAAGUCUCUGUUACAUGAGACAGCAGAUGCUGAAUCCAACAUCAAAGGGAGCCGCAAGGUUGAGCACACCAAAGAUUUCAGGUUAGUGUUUGAACAAUUACAAUCUGCAAGAAUUCAAAGGAAACCUAGAAUGCCUUUUUUUGUGGAUUAACACUCAGUGCUUGAGUUUCGACCUAAUCACUAGUUAGGAUCUCCAUUUUCAAAGUCAAAUUAACUUAUCCCAAUAAUUUCAUUCAUCAACUACUUGGUUCUCCACUUAAAUUUCCUGUUGGUCAAACUCAGGGACAAAAGGCAACUGAAAGAUUUUAAUUAGAGUGAAUUCCUAUAUAAUCUUGAGGUAAGGCAAAAUUCAAUGGUCAAGUAUCAAUGACUAAUCUAUUGAAAGGAUUAAAUAGUUAAAUCAAUGACUAACCUCAUGCACUGUACAUGUCCUUUUAUUUGAGCUUCAGUGAUCAAACUCAAAAAUUUAGUUUCUUACUUGCGGUGGUAAUCUUGCUGUUUCAGUUUCUUUGACAAGGCAGCAGUGGAAACCGAAAAAGAUAAUGUAAAAGAAUCAGUAGACCCAUGGAGACUUUCCACAGUAACUCAAGUUGAGGAGUUAAAAUCAAUCAUUCGGUUGCUUCCUAUAUGGGCUACUGGUAUAAUCUUCGCUGCAGUGUACAGCCAAAUGAGCAACUUAUUUGUAUUGCAAGGAGAUCAGAUGAAUAAAUAUGUUGGCAAUUCCAGUUUCAAGAUCCCAUCUGCGUCUCUUUCUGUUUUCGACCCCCUUAGCGUCAUUUUCUGGGUUCCAAUCUAUGACAGAAUCAUUGUUCCAGUAGCAAGAAAAUUCACAGGCCAUAAAACUGGCUUGACUCAACUACAAAGAAUGGGAAUUGGCCUUGUGAUAUCAGUAUUUGCAAUGGUAUCUGCUGCAGUACUAGAAAUGAUAAGACUCGCAAUGGUUGAAAGACACAAUAUUUAUGAAGUUAAAGAAGUACCCAUAUCAGUAUUCUGGCAAGUUCCACAAUAUUUCCUUAUAGGAUGUGCAGAAGUAUUCACAUUCAUCGGACAAUUAGAAUUCUUCUACCAAGAAGCGCCAGAUGCAAUGAGAAGCUUAUGUUCUGCUUUGUCUCUUACCACAGUCGCACUUGGUAAUUAUUUAAGCUCUCUUCUCGUAACUAUUACCAUGAGCAUUACUGCAAAGAAUGGAAAACCAGGGUGGAUACCAGACAAUUUAAAUUAUGGUCACGUUGAUUACUUCUUCUGGGUAUUGGCAAUACUAAGUGUGCUAAAUUUAGUGGCUUUUCUUUUGAUAUCAAAGUGGUAUACAUACAAGAUUCCUGUGGGAACUCUUCGUUGAUCAUCAUCUCUUGGAUUUGCUGUUGUGUCGUUGAAAAAACUGUGAAAAAACAUAUCAUAGAAAAUAUAUCAUGUUAGUGAUGAAGAUUGUAUUUCUUUUACCAGAAAUGGGUAAAAUAUAAUUAAAAAUUUUACAACAAAGACAACGGUCUAUUGUGUGUGUUUUCCCCAACCAACAAAUCUUUACCUUUUCUUGGAUUUGCUGUUGUGUCGUUGAAAAAACUGUAAAAAAACAUAUCAUAGAAAAUAUAUCAUGUUAGUGAUGAAGAUUGUAUUUCUUUUACCAGAAAUGGGUAAAAUAUAAUUAAAAAUUUACAACAAAGACAACAGUCUAUUGUGUGUGUUUUCCCCAACCAACAAAUCUUUACCUUUUCUUUUCUUCCUUCUGGUGCUUUUGUUUUGAAUUUAAUGAUUUGAUGGAAUCAGCAGAUUAUGCACUUAGACCUUAGAUCAGUAAUAUCAAAAUUAUACAGCUAAAAUUUACUUCAUCAAGCAACAAAGGAGAAAAGAUAAUCAGGAAUUAUUAUAUAUUAUAUUAUUAAAAUGAAACAUGAAUACUAAACAUUCUUUCGGUACAUACUUUCUCACACGCAUAUCAUUAUAUAUAUAUAUUGAGAUAACAUCAUUAUAAGCUGAAACUUAACCAGAGAUCUCAAUAGCCUUAACAUCAGGUUUCUUGACUUCCUCUUUAGGAACAGUGACAGUAAGUACUCCGUUUUCCAUUGAAGCCUUUACUUGAUCCAUCUUUGCAUUCUCCGGCAGCCUGAACCUCCUCAUGAACUUGCCACUGCUACG